ensembl:lncRNA
AUGGUGGAGCCGCUUGGUCGACGGGCUGAGGCAGAGUCUUGGACUCAGAGGCUGGAGGUGGAGGCAAGGGAUUCUCCAUCCACGCAAAUGAGAGAGAUUGACAAAACCGCUGUGCUCCCACUAAACAGAUCGUGGGAUGAGGGUGAGCAGAGGGGCUGCCAGACGACAACAGUGGAAGAGUCAGAUGACUUGAGUCAUGAAGCCUCUGGAUCAUUUGGGGAUGCGGCCACAUCACCCUCCUCAACCCAUUUGUUUGGCGGCUUCCAUAUGACAGACAGGAAUCCAGCUUCUGUAGUCCAAUCAGAUCCCACAGGCUCGUCAAAGGGUAGCAGGGAACAACCUGCAUUUUCCUCUGUACUCACAUUACUUGCCAGCACAGCCCAAAAGCCUCCCAAACUGUCGUCAAAAGUUGUUGCACGUGGCAAUGAAACACAUCAAUGGCCUUCUAAUGGAUCUUUGGAACGAGUGGAGCCAUUUACUCUCCCAUCGUCUGUGCUGGUCGGCAACCAAUCCAAUAACUCAGAGUUUCAAUGGAUAUCUGAGCUGGAGGCACCUGCAGCCUCUAGAGCUGCAGACCCUGAUUCUAGCAGAUUGAUUUCACCUGAGCAGAAAAACACUGCUGCACCCAAUAGAUCUUCAGCUACAUCUGUGGACACACAACGAGAACGACCAGACAUUGCAACCACUAUUGUAUCUCAACCUACAGUAUUUAACAGCAAUACUGUUACCACAACCAGCAUCCCCUUUACAACAACAACAAACCAGAUUAGCACUACCCAAUCAUCUGCUGCUAAACGACACUCCAAAACACCCAGGACUUCUAUAAGAACUACAACUACAGAAUCUCCAAAGACAACACCUAGAAUCCUGUUUGACUCCACCUCACAGAGCGCUAAGUUGGACCCUUCAAAAAGCACUUUAGGAACUCCAAGAGCUGCUGCAACUGAGGCCUCAAUGCUAAGAUGUAACAUCACUGACAAGAUGUGGAUAAAAACAGGUGCGAUUGCUCAGAUCAAAUGUUGAUCUUUAUGAAAUUGACAGAAAAUUGUUGUACUGUAAUUCAGUGUUGUAAUCAUUCAAGUCUGAGUCAAGACUGAGACCAGAUGUGGGUUGAUUCCUAGUUAUGCCCACAUGUUCCCAAGUCACUGACAAGACCAAGACAAUGAAAAUAUGGUCUUGGACUCAAGUACUACAACAUUUACUGUCAUCUGCCACUGCUGUCAUCAUUCAUGCUGAAUAAAUCUACCUGUACAUGUUUAAUUAAUGAUGAAAGCUAUUUGUUAUCAUGACAAUUCAUGUAGGUGCUACUGAAUCAGUGUUACAUUACUCAAUGAUUGACUUGAUCUCGAGUCCAAGAACAUAUUUCCAUGAUGGAUUUGGGAGCAUGUGGACUGGGUCUUGACUUGAACUUAACCUUCUUCUGGUCUUGACUUGGGCCCUAUUUACACCUGAUAUUAAGAUGCAUUUUGGUUGAUCAGGUCAUAACAAGUUUUUAAUCUGUCUCUUUUGUUCAUUAUUUAUUUCAGUUUCUUUGAGGGGAGAGUCUAUGGGUGGGUGUAUGUAUAGGAUUUUUCUGAUCUUUAAAUCUUAUAUCGCAAAAUAAGCUCAUGCAAUUCAGUUAUGAGCGUAAAAGGAGACAAUGGUAUAGGACUGUUAAACAUCUUAUAAACCAGGUGUAAACAGGGCCUUGGAUGAACUGUUCCUGACUACAGCACUACUGUAAAAUUCAGUGAGCACUUACAGAAUUAGUAUUACAUAAAUUUACAAUGUAAUUGGUAACCAGUGUUUCUACAAAAAUAUCACAGUUACUCCAGUCUGUGAAAGAAAUGUAUGCCAUAAUCACAAAGAACUGGAGAAGUGGCCUGGUUCUUACAGUAUGUGCUCUAGCAGACUAAAACUAGCUCAAGUCAAGCCACCUUUAUUUAAUUAAUAUUUUAUAUAAUACAGAUUUUUCAACAGCAGCUAAAGUAAUAAUUAGGAAACUAACAGAAUCAAAUUAUUCAAAUAUGAGACAAAAUCAAAUUCUGCUGUCAAGCAGCUCUAAAAAGACAACUGUGUCAUUAUUUUGCUCAAAUCAGUUUUAGUUAAAAAACUUUGUAAAGUCGAUCAAUUAUGAGACAAGUUCAAUUGACCCUUCGCAAAGAUGUCAGUACACACCAUUUUUCAAGUUUAAGUCCACCCAAGUUAAUCUACUCUCCUGUCUGGUUUGUUUGUCUGAAAAAAAAAAAAAAAAAAUGGUGGAAUUGGCAUUAUGAUUCAUCAAUACCCAUGUAAUAUGCCAGUCCUAACCCUUCCCACCUCAACUGCCUUAUAAAUAAAAGUGGCAAAAGUAUAUUAAAUAAUUUUUUUUUUUUUUUUUUUUUACAUUUCACGGAAUUAUUCUAACAAUGUUUAUGGUUAAUUGAUCAAGAGUGUUUCGUAGUAACAGUAGCUGCAUAUUUUUAUUGAAAAACUAUGAUUACCAUGGCACAUUUUCUUAAUGGUUCUUCCUGAUCAAAUGGUUUUAUUUGAACAUAAACUUUAUAUUUUUCAAUGCAUUUUUCACUUCGUUUUUUUUUUUCCUGUCAAUGAUAGUGUUGUCCGUACAGUUACGGAGGAGUCGUCUAGACAGUAUUUUGAAGCAGAAUCUCCCUCGAGGGUUUACUCAAGCUCUGAAGAAGGCCUUGAAUGACAGCACGGUUCAGGCUAAGGUUUGCACUUCAUGAAUUUAUAACACAGUCAUCGUUUACAUUUUGUUCUGCAUCAAGUAUGCACCAACACAAAUUACAUUUUGCUUUAAGCAAUGUUUGCUGUCUUGAUAUAACUACCACAAGAUAUACCCUCUAAAUCCGUCCCCUUCCGUCAUUUGUCCUUCUCUUAACGUUAGCAAAUGCAUACUUCACCAGGCUGUAAAAUCCAUGUGAUUGCUCUGAUACUGCAAGAAAAAUAGAAAGCCUUUUCACAUGGUUUAAAACAUUAGCUAUAAUAUAAAUAUUUAUUUAUUGCUGUAUAAAUUUUGCACACAAAUUGUAUCAUUAAGAAUAUCUAUCCCUGGUUAAAAGAUUUGUUUUGCACACAUAAUGGUGUAAUUCACCAGCAGGGGCUAAGCAUCCGUGUUAUAAAUCUUGUUUUCAGCAGCUUUAUUGCUUUAUUUGUGUCUAUUGUUUUCCAUCUUAUCUUUCUCAUUUUAAUAUAUGUUUACUUCAGAUGUGUACCUUAGUGAUAACUGUAUGUCAAUGGAAGCUAGGCUAAUCUGCUAAAUACUGAUACCUAACAAAACCAAACACACAAUCAUUGUCAGCCAAAUCAUUGUAAACCUUAUUAUCGGAGUAGAAAACAAAAUAAAAAUAAACUGGGUGAAAAUGGAAACAGAAUACUGCUAUUAGUCACCCCUCAGUUACAUCUUAAGUUUUUCAGUUACUGAGCUUUUUCUGCCUGUUUGUCCCAAGAUAAAAGCUUUGAUGUCAAUGCAGUCCUCAUGCUGGAAGCAAUCCAGGGAGAACUGGAAAGUUCGUGGCUCAUCAAACUGUUGAUUGAAAGAACUACAGGGGUUUGGAUUUUGCCAUAUUUUUGUAAUGUAAGAACAUAACAUUAAAGUAAUUAUUCACAUCCCC